UACAGAGGGUGCGAGCGUUAAUCGGAAUUACUGGGCGUAAAGCGUGCGUAGACGGCUAUCUAAGUCGGGUGUGAAAGCCCCGGGCUCAACCUGGGAAUUGCAUUCGAGACUGAAUAGCUAGGGUACGGUAGAGGGAAGUGGAAUUUCCGGUGUAGCGGUGAAAUGCGUAGAUAUCAGGAGGAACACCGGUGGCGAAGGCGGGUCUCUGGGCCGUAACUGACGCUGAGGAGCGAAAGCGUGGGGAGCGAACAGG
rnacentral:rRNA from 1 species